rnacentral:rRNA from 1 species
AUUGAACGCUGGCGGCAUGCCUUACACAUGCAAGUCGAACGGCAGCGGACCUUCGGGUGCCGGCGAGUGGCGAACGGGUGAGUAAUAUAUCGGAACGUACCUUUCAGUGGGGGAUAACGUAGCGAAAGUUACGCUAAUACCGCAUAUUCUGUGAGCAGGAAAGCAGGGGAUCGCAAGACCUUGCGCUGAUUGAGCGGCCGAUAUCAGAUUAGCUAGUUGGUGAGGUAAAGGCUCACCAAGGCGACGAUCUGUAGCGGGUCUGAGAGGAUGAUCCGCCACACUGGAACUGAGACACGGUCCAGACUCCUACGGGAGGCAGCAGUGGGGAAUUUUGGACAAUGGGCGCAAGCCUGAUCCAGCCAUGCCGCGUGAGUGAUGAAGGCCUUAGGGUUGUAAAGCUCUUUUACUGGGGAUGAUAAUGACAGUACCCAGAGAAUAAGACUCCGGCUAACUCCGUGCCAGCAGCCGCGGUAA